AGUGAACGCUGGCGGUAGGCCUAACACAUGCAAGUCGAACGGCAGCACAGUAAGAGCUUGCUCUUACGGGUGGCGAGUGGCGGACGGGUGAGGAAUACAUCGGAAUCUACUUUUUCGUGGGGGAUAACGUAGGGAAACUUACGCUAAUACCGCAUACGACCUACGGGUGAAAGCAGGGGAUCUUCGGACCUUGCUCGAUUGAAUGAGCCGGUGUCGGAUUAGCUAGUUGGCGGGGUAAAGGCCCACCAAGGCGACGAUCCGUAGCCGGUCUGAGAGGAUGAUCAGCCACACUGGGACUGAGACACGGUCCAGACUCCUACGGGAGGCAGCAGUGGGGAAUAUUUGACAAUGGGCGCAAGCCUGAUGCAGCCAUGCCGCGUGGGUGAAGAAGGCCUUCGGGUUGUAAAACCCUUUUGUUGGGGAAGAAAAGGCGUAAGUUUAAACGCCCACGUUUUGACGGUACCCAAAGAAAAAGCCACGGCUAACUUCGUG
rnacentral:rRNA from 1 species